rnacentral:lncRNA from 10 species
AAAAAAAAGAGUUCUGUACACAGGCGGAUGGCUCCUCAUCUAGGCUGGUAAUUUCACAGGGGCUGUGACGCAAACCUAUUUACCCAAACCUUCCAUUAUAUUCAGCAGUGCCCUGAAAUGAUCAAUUUUGAAAGUGAACUAAUGAGAUACUCAAACUUAUUUUAUUACUCUAAAGUACAGAAUACAAACAACAGAAAUCAUUAGAUAUUGAACAGCAUUUUUAUGUAAAUAAAAUUAAAAUAUCUCAGUCGUCUGUACAGACAACUUCAUUUGUAACAGAGACUUGUUUUAUCUUUAGUGUAUUCUACUCUAUUUAUCUGAUACGACUAUUUUGCUUUUAAAUGUUUUCCUUAAAAUUUUUAUAACUAAUACUUCACUAAUUACUUUACCAAAUACAUAGAUUAAAAUAUCCCUAAAUGUCAAUUUUAGCAGGACUACCUUUUUCCUUUCAAAAUGUAGUCAAAUAUACCUUUAACAGUAUUCAUAUGCACAAAAUUUAAGCCAAAUAUUCAAGCUUACAGGCAAAGAUCUUGAGCACACUUACUGCUGUGCCAAAGGAAUAAUCUUGGCCCCAUCCCUACUUAUAAAAAAUAUAUAAUAAAUCAUGAUCUUUGAUUAAAGCAAAUGACUCUUAACAGAAUGUGAGCUAUUGCCAAAAAAAUGAUUCUAACAGUUAUGGUUUUACACUCACAGCCUAGGUUUCUAGUAGUAUGUUGUCAAAAAAAGCAAAUGAGGUGAUGAUUGGCAGUUAAUGGUCAUUGACAAGAUUUUAAGGGUAGUUAAAAAAGUUUCUCUGAAGUAUCAAUAUCAAAUGUGCUAAAAGGAGAAAAGUAGAUGCAGCACUGAUGUGUCAAAAAUGACUUUGAAAAUGUAAAUUCCUGUGUCUGUAAUAGGUAUCCUUUAAUAGCUGAAAGUAACAAAUGAAAAGCCAAACAUUCACUAUUAACAUACAUGGGGCCUGACACAGUGGCUUAUGCCCGUAAUCCCAGCACUACAGGAGGCCAAGGUGGGAAAAUUAUUUGAGCCCAGGAGUUCAAGACCAACAUAGGCAACAUGGAAAGACUGUGUCUCUAUAAAAAAUAAAAAAAUUAGCCAGGUGUGGUGGUGUCUGUAGUCCCAGGUACUCGGGAGGCCGAGGUGGGAGGAUCGCUUGAGCCUGGGAGACUGAGGCUGCAGUAAGCUGAGAUCAUGCCACUGCACUCCAGCCUGGGGCAAUAGAGUGAGACCCUGUCUCAAAUAUGUAACACACACAUACAUACAUAAAUAUAUACACACAUACAUGGUAGCCAAAUGGAAAUUUUACUGACUCUUUGAUUAGUAUCAUUACACUUCACAUAUGAGUUUUAGUCUUCAGUUAAUUCCUGGGAAAUGCCAAAAAUAAAAAUACUGCCACAGAGAAAUUAGUUUUUCUCUGCUACAUAUUGGCUCAAAAGUAAGCACCUGAAUAUUAAUUGUCUACAUUUUGUAUUUUUAAGAUCUUAUUUCAAAACAAUUUACAUUGAGAGUAUUAUUUAUGCUCUUAAACAGGAUCAGGGAUAUCUUUAUUUCUAGACUCUGGGAAGAUAAUUUACCUGAGCAAAAUGCAAAGAUAAAUAAUUAUACAAAAAUUUAAGUCAGUUGUCAAAGCUAACAAUGCAUCACCUGGCUUCAAAAUUUAACAAACAAAGAGUCUACAUAAAUAUCUUUCUUGUCUACACAUCUUUCUUGUUAUGGUAAACAUUUUGUUUUUUCUAACAAAACACUGCUCUUCAUUUUAAAAUCUAAAUGGCAAAAUGAGAAUGAUAACAGCGAAUUAACAGGUUUGAAUGUGGUUUAUAAAAUUAGGAAUGGGCAAACAUGGAUUAACUGACUCGAAAAUACUCUGGAAUAGGGGUCACAAAUUUGGUCCACAAGCCAAAUCCAGCCAGCUCAUAAGAACAGUUUCACAUUUUCUAAUGGCUGAAAAAAUCUAAUGGCUAACACAGUAGUAUUUUGUAACACAUCAAAAUUAUGUAAAAUUCAACUUUCAGUGCUCAUGAAAUUUUAUUGGAACAUGGCCACACUCAUUCGUUUAGGUACUGUCUAUGAUUGCUUUCACAUUAGAAUGGCAGAGUUGAACAAAUGCAAAGGAGACUUAUGUGGUGCUGUCAUCAUUUUGCACUGCUACUUGGCACACUAAAAACUGCAGUAAUGCAGUUACCAGCAUUUUGAGUGCCACAUAUUUGCAGCCAAAGUGACUCAGAUGUUAACCAAGCAAGGAAAAC